UUGUUCCAUCCGGUUUAAACA
rnacentral:piRNA from 1 species